rnacentral:rRNA from 1 species
UACGAAGGUGGCAAGCGUUGUUCGGAUUUACUGGGCGUACAGGGAGCGUAGGCGGUUGGAUAAGCCCUCCGUGAAAUCUCCAGGCUUAACCUGGAAAGUGCAGAGGGGACUGUUCAGCUAGAGGAUGGGAGAGGAGCGCGGAAUUCCCGGUGUAGCGGUGAAAUGCGUAGAGAUCGGGAGGAAGGCCGGUGGCGAAGGCGGCGCUCUGGAACAUUACUGACGCUGAGGCUCGAAAGCGUGGGGAGCAAACAGG